rnacentral:rRNA from 1 species
AGAGUUUGAUCCUGGCUCAGCCUGAACGCUGGCGGCAUGGCUAAAACAUGCAAGUCGAGGGAGAAGCAUCUUCGGAUGUGGACACCGGCGAAAGGGCGAGUAACGCGAUCGUACGUACCCUUCAGUAGAGGAUAGCGUCGGGAAACUGGCGGUAAUACUCUAUACGCUCUACGGAGGAAAGGAUUCCGCUGAAGGAGCGGCGAUCGUCCUAUCAGGUAGUUGGUGGGGUAAAGGCCUACCAAGCCGAAGACGGGUAGCGGGUGUGAGAGCAUGACCCGCCGCAUCGGGACUGAGACACUGCCCGGACUCCUACGGGAGGCUGCAGUAACGAAUCUUCCGCAAUGCGCGAAAGCGUGACGGAGCAAUGCCGCGUGUGGGACGAAGCGGUUACGCCGCGUAAACCACUGUCAGGGUCGAGGAAGAACUGACCAGACCCAGAGGAAGGGCCGGCUAAUCUCGUGCCAGCAGCCGCGGUAAUACGAGAGGCCCAAGCGUUAGGCGGAAUCACUGGGCUUAAAGGGUGCGUAGGCGGGCGUGCAAGCAUCGUGUGAAAUCCCUCGGCUCAACCGGGGAACCGCACAGUGAACUGCACGCCUUGAGGUAGGUAGGGGCGAUCGGAACGUUCGGUGGAGCGGUGAAAUGCGU